rnacentral:tRNA from 1 species
GCCGCCUUAGCUCAGUUGGUAGAGCACCACCAUGGUAAGGUGGGGGUCGCCGGUUCAAGCCCGGCAGGUGGCUUUU